rnacentral:rRNA from 1 species
GAUGAACGCUGGCGGCGUGCCUAAUACAUGCAAGUCGAGCGAACGGACGGGAAGCUUGCUUCUCUGAUGUUAGCGGCGGACGGGUGAGUAACACGUGGAUAACCUACCUAUAAGACUGGGAUAACUUCGGGAAACCGGAGCUAAUACCGGAUAAUAUUUUGAACCGCAUGGUUCAAAAGUGAAAGACGGUCUUGCUGUCACUUAUAGAUGGAUCCGCGCUGCAUUAGCUAGUUGGUAAGGUAACGGCUUACCAAGGCAACGAUGCAUAGCCGACCUGAGAGGGUGAUCGGCCACACUGGAACUGAGACACGGUCCAGACUCCUACGGGAGGCAGCAGUAGGGGAUCUUCCGCAAUGGGCGAAAGCCUGACGGAGCAACGCCGCGUGAGUGAUGAAGGUCUUCGGAUCGUAAAACUCUGUUAUUAGGGAAGAACAUAUGUGUAAGUAACUGUGCACAUCUUGACGGUACCUAAUCAGAAAGCCACGGCUAACUACGUG